rnacentral:rRNA from 1 species
AAUGAACGCUGGCGGCAGGCCUAACACAUGCAAGUCGAACGGAUCCUUCGGGAGUAGUGGCGGACGGGUGAGUAACGCGUGGGAACGUGCCCUUUGGUUCGGAAUAGCCUCGGGAAACUGGGAGUAAUACCGGAUAAGCCCUUCGGGGGAAAGAUUGAUCGCCAAAGGAUCGGCCCGCGUUGGAUUAGGUAGUUGGUGGGGUAAUGGCCUACCAAGCCGACGAUCCAUAGAUGGUUUGAGAGGAUGAUCCGCCACAUUGGUACUGAGACACGGCCCAGCCUCCUACGUGAGGCAUCAGUGGGGAAUCUUAGACAAUGGGGGAAACCCUGAUCUAGCCAUGCCGCGUAGUCGAUGAAGGCCUUAGGGUUGUAAAGAUCUUUCAGUUGGGAAGAUAAUGACGAUACCAACAGAAGAAGCCCCGGCUAACUCCGUGCCAGCAGCCGCAGUAACAC